rnacentral:sRNA from 1 species
UGUGUAAAAAGUGCCAAAAAUGAUAUUAGUUAAUAAUUUUUUGGUAUAAAUACAUUCAUACCGACGAAAGUUAGAAGAUACCUAUUACACCUGAUAGAUAUUUAAAAAAUUCCAUUCCAACUCUAAAAUACAUACAAUUUUAAUAUGUGUUACACAAAAAUAUAUCAAACAAAAGUUAAAGAGGUUUGCCGACAAUUCUAGUCAUUCAAUUUGUAGAGGGGAAUUUCCUAACACAUCCUUGGGGAAAAAGAAAAAAUUAUGAGAAAUAAAAUAGAAGAAAUUUCACUUUCUUGACUCGUCACACACCAUCGAGUGAUUGGGAUCAUGAAAUAACAAGGCGCCUUUACAUAGCUAUCAAUGGAUUGUUACAAAUUCUUUAUUUAUGAUACAGAUCCUUCGAGAAGCGUCUUUGUGUGUGAAACCGAAAUACAGGAUUUCAAAAAUUGUUUGUGUUU